rnacentral:rRNA from 1 species
CCUUUGCAAUGCACGAAAGUGUGACAGAGCAAACCAGAGUGCUACUCCGUAUUGGAGUAGCUUUGUGAGAUGUAAAUAGUCUCACGAAUAAGGACCGGGCAAGACUGGUGCCAGCCGCCGCGGUAAUACCAGCGGUCCAAGUCGCAAUCACGUUUAUUGGGUCUAAACAUCCGUAGCUUGCCAUGUAAGUCUUUGUGAAAUCCUGCGUCUUAAGCGUAGAAGUGCGAGAGAUACUGCAUGGCUAGAGACCGGGAGAGGCAAGAAGUACGGUUAGGGUAGCGGUAAAAUGCGUUGAUCCUUUCUGGACUUACAAUAGCGAAGGCAUCUUGCUAGAACGG